UUUCAGGCCUUUGUAAUUAGCACUAUGCAAAGGCUUUUUAGAGCAUGGAAAUCUCGACUCAGCAUUCUAUACUCUAAGUACAGUACUAAUGAAGAAAGAUUGUCUCAUCGACCUGAAGAUGUCUUGACUCAACAUUCUGUACUCUAAGUACAGUACUAAUGAAGAAAGAUUGUCUCAUCGACCUGAAGACGUUGAGCUUGAGGACUAGAAAUACCUAAUACAAUAUUUCGGAAGUCCGAAAUUUAAGGUAUUAACUUACUACUUGAAGAUUG
rnacentral:lncRNA from 1 species